UUUUGUGUGUGUGUGUGUGUGUGUCUUAAGCUUCAAGCAUUCCAGCAGACCAGGAAAAAAAAAGAAAAAGAAAAAAAAAAAAGGAAAUGCUAUGCUGUGUUUACUCUCUGAAUGCUUACAUAAAAAUGCGUCAAAGUGCACACAAGUACACACACGCAGCGUUGUCAUGAGUAUAGUGGUGGGCUUUUUCCAGUGAUCCUUCCCUUUGUGAAUCAGCCUGCCUGAGACAUGAUGGGAUGGUUGCCCUAGAAGAUGAGAUCUCCGAGUCUUAGAGGUUUCUGAGACACGAUGAACCCACGUUCCUCUGCUGUAAUGUUGCCUAAUCUCUUGCCCUGGCUCCCGACCAGAACCCGCUGCACCAUCCUGCCCAGCGUGCCAGGCGUUCUGGCAGCACUGCCCAUGUGCAGAGCCCAAGUACAACACAAACACAACACCUCGUUCCCAGCACCUCUCCACUGAACUGAAUUUGGGGCUCGAUUCUGUUUUCUCUUUGCCCCACCUGCCUCAACAAGCAGAAACACCUCCGCCAGGUGAUCCGAUGGAGACGGAGGAAACCUGUUUGUCACUUGCCGCCUGGACACCACAAACAGGUGUGGGAUUUUCUGAUGGGCACCCUGAAGACCUGGGUCUGUGGGCAUGCCCAUUCCCUCAUCCAGAUGCUGGAAGUCAGGUCUUCAAUCACUCCUGUUGCUCUCCAGCUGGUCUACAUCUUUCCUGA
rnacentral:lncRNA from 1 species